AGCAGAUCUCUAGGAGGAUAUAGAGAGGUAGUGAUAGUACUUUAUAGAUCCCCGGUAAGAUCUCACCUAGAGUAUUGUGUUCAGUUCUAUAGAGCAGAUCUCUAGGAGGAUAUAGAGAGGUAGUGAUAGUACUUUAUAGAUCCCUGGUAAGAUCUCACCUAGAGUAUUGUGUUCAGUUCUAUAGAGCAGAUCUCCAGGAGGAUAUAGAGAGGUAGUGAUAAUACUUUAUAGAUCCCCGGUAAGAUUCAGAAUCAAACACACUUGCAACUCAAAAAUGCACCUGCACUCUCACACUACACACAGUCCCGCUUCAUUCACACACAGUAAUACUACAUACAAAUGUCAAGUUGGUGACCCACAAAAUAAAGGUUACAUCUAAUUCAGCCACCCCGGAAGGGCUGCAGAAAAUCAAGGAAUGGGCUGAGUUAUGUAUAAAUCUUUUAGAUAGAUGUGAAAUAUAGAAUAUCACCCAUAAUUAUAGAGGAACCAGUCUUUUGCAUGCUGAGGUUAUCUCCUUUUUGUUUUGUGUUUCGGGGGUUACUUGUUUUUUAUUGUUCUUUGAGUUAAAACUAUUUGACACAAACCAGAAGGACAGCACCCAUGGCCUUCUUGUACCAUAAGAACUACAAUAAGCAUUAGUGGCUAUGGUGUUUCGACGUUUAUAAUUUCACAAUUGCAGGAAGAUGCCAACACACAGAUCUGUCCAAGCUGCCAAUCCCCCAGGUAUGCCUCUGUUCCCCACACAGUCCCUGUUAACAAUCACACACAGGACUUCUCUAGUCUAACCUCCUCCUGCCCAAGACACAUUAAUAUUGGCUACUAUAAUAUUCUGUUGGACAGCAUUGAUAACUGUGUGUAUUUCUAAUCUUCCAAUUCCAAUCGUGGUCAAUUAAAACAAUAUAUUUACUGUAUUAAAAGUCACUUCUCUGGAAUUACACCAUUGAAUAAAAUACUGAAAAUGACCUAUUACCUAUGUUAACCAUUUUGUUUCAUGGAAGGCUCGGCUUUCUUUCAAAAGUAUAUUAACGUGCUUCAUACUGGAUAUGAACGACUAUUUUGACAUUGAACAUUAUGACCAUACUAAAGGGUGGUUUUAAAACAUCUUGGGAUCUACUUUUUGGGCUUGGUGAAAUAAACACCACCGAGCUCAGUGGUUCCAAAACCAGUCCUCCUGGCCCACCAACAUUCCAGGAUUUAUGUAUUUCUCUUUUCUAUUCCAAUAGAGAUACAGAGAAAACGUGGACUGUUGGUGGGUCCUGAGGGCUGGUUUGGGUACCACUGUCCUAGCUGAUUGACAGCUGAUUGACAGCUGGGAAAGUAUAGCAGGACUGAAAUAUAAAACUUGUCACUUUUAUAAAAGGAUGGGGCACCACUCUUCAAAACACAUAAAGCACUUUAGCUUUCUGAAGUGUGGACAGCGUUCCUUUUACAUAUUUGAUUGUCAAAAUUUGUCAUAAAACCACAAGUCGGAACCCUUCUCAC